AUGCGCAGCCUCACCGACCUCCGGCUCUACAAUAACAACCUCGUCGGCAGUAUCCCGCACCAGCUCUGUAGGCACCUCUCCAUCCAGAUACUGGACCUGUCAAACAACGGGCUCACCGGAGAUCUCCCGGACUGCUGGUGCAACUUCCACGCGCUGAUGUUCAUGUUCCUAUCGAACAACCGUCUCACCGGCAAGCUCCCGGACUGCUGGUGGAACCUGGAGGCUCUGAUUUUCAUGGAUCUAUCCAACAACUCCUUCUCAAGUAAAAUCCCCGCAGCCGUGGCAAGCCACAACUGCUCUCUUAUGUCUCUUUACCUUGCUGGAAAUGGCUUCGUUGGUCCCUUCCCGAUGGUUCUAGAGGGUUGCAACUCGCUGGCCACCCUGGACAUGGGGAAUAACAAGUUCUUUGGUGUUAUCCCUCCAUGGAUCGGGAGUCAGAUCCCAUUGUUGAGAAUCCUUAGCCUGAAAUCAAACAAUUUCACUGGACAAAUUCCUCUAGAGUUAUCACACCUUUCGCAACUUCAGCUGCUCAACAUGGCAAACAAUAGCUUGACCGGCUCGAUUCCGGUAGCCUUCGGCAGCUUGACCUCCAUGAUGCAUCCACAAAAUCUAUCGGCUACAGACCCGUCUAACAAGUUUGGUUACUAUGGUAGAAUCGACAUAACCUGGAAGGGCCGGUACAAGAUAUUUAGAAAAGAUAUCCAGUUAUUAGCCGGUAUCGAUUUGUCGGGCAAUUUAUUGUCUCAGUGCAUUCCUGAAGAGCUAACCAACCUUCAGGGCCUCCUAUUUCUAAACCUGUCGAGAAACCAUCUAUCAUGUAGCAUUCCUAAAAACAUUGGUAGUUUGACUUUUCUCGAGUCCAUUGAUCUAUCAUCUAAUGGAUUUACAGGAGCCAUUCCGCCGAGCAUCUCGAGCUUACCGUGGCUCACCACGUUGAAUGUCUCGAACAAUCUUUUAUCGGGCAAGAUACCCAUCGGGAAUCAGCUUCAGAGCCUGACUGACCCAUCAAUUUACUCCAACAAUUCUGGGCUCUGUGGAUUUCCUCUAAACAUUUUGUGUGCCAAUACUUCGCUUGCACCGGAUGAGAGAAAUGGUUAAGAGGAGGACGACUGGAUGUACUACUGUGUGAUUGCUGGGAUUGUGUCUGGUCUCUGGUUGUGGUUUGGGAUGCUCUUUACAGUUAAGUCCUGGAGAUGUGGUUUUCUUUCCUUUAUUGAUGGCAUGCAAUGUAAAAUUAUGAAAAAGUUGUGACAUUAG
rnacentral:rRNA from 1 species